UCCGUUCAAAUGGCAACCAUCAGUAACUGCACCAAAAUCGUAAGAAAUUUCAUGGAUUUCGCAUACUGCGUCGAGACUCCUAAUAUUCCAGGUGACAUAUGCCCAAAGUCAAACUAUAAGCACCCAAAGGUAAGCGCUAACUUCUAUCAAGUCCGUACGAGCAGUUUUAGCAAAACGUUCACCAGACUUGCCUCUAUAACCUUUGGAACAUCUUCUAAAUGCAAGAAAAAUUUCGUUGACAUACAAUGUGAACUGAUACGUGGUCCCAUCUGUUCCAAAAACAUGAUGCUACGAAUGUUUACCACAACUCGACAGAAGUGCGAGACUACGAUGAAGAACUGCAUUCCAAUCUUACUGGCCAAUAUUCGGACCUAUUUCUUGGAAACGUGCAAGAUAUUCCCUGAUGGUACAGCUAAAAUGGUUCC